rnacentral:rRNA from 1 species
CCCUUAGAUGUUCUGGGCUGCACACGUGCUACACUGGCAGGUUCAGCGAGCUUCAUGCCCUGAUCCGAAAGGAAUGGGAAAUCUUUUCAAAACCUGCCGUGCUUGGGAUAGAUGUUUGCAAUUAUUCAUCUUCAACGAGGAUUGCCUUGUAAGCGCACGUCAUCAGCGUGCAUUGAAUACGACCCUGUAUUCUGUACACACCGCCCGUCGCUCCUACCGAUUGAAGUUUUCGGUGAGUUGACAGGAGGAUUUUUUUGAAACUGGUUCGCCAGUGGAUUUCAGAUCCAAAUGCCAACGAAUCGAUGGCUUUAGAGGAAGGAGAAGUCGUAACA